rnacentral:rRNA from 1 species
AGCAGCCGCGGUAAUUCCAGCUCCAAUAGCGUAUAUUAAAGUUGUUGCAGUUAAAAAGCUCGUAGUUGAAUUUCGGGAUCAAGUCGUCGGUCGUGCUUAGGUACGUACUGGCGUCAUUGAUUUCUCCCUUCUGACGAACCAUGAUGUCAUUAAUUUGGUGUCAUGGGAAAUCAGGACUGUUACUUUGAAAAAAUUAGAGUGUUUAAAGCAGGCUCACGCUUGAAUACAUUAGCAUGGAAUAAUGAAAUAGGACGUUCGAUCCUAUUUUGUUGGUUUUAGGAUCAACGUAAUGAUUAAUAGGGAUAGUUGGGGGCAUUAGUAUUCAAUUGUCAGAGGUGAAAUUCUUGGAUUUAUUGAAGACUAACUACUGCGAAAGCAUUUGCCAAGGAUGUUUUCAUUAAUCAAGAACGAAAGUUAGGGGACUCGAAGACGAUCAGAUACCGUCGUAGU